rnacentral:rRNA from 1 species
CAGCAGCCGCGGGAAUACAGAGGGUGCGAGCGUUAAUCGGAUUUACUGGGCGUAAAGCGUGCGUAGGCGGCUUUUUAAGUCGGAUGUGAAAUCCAUGAGCUUAACUUAGGAAUUGCAUUCGAUACUGGGAAGCUAGAGUAUGGGAGAGGAUGGUAGAAUUCCAGGUGUAGCGGUGAAAUGCGUAGAGAUCUGGAGGAAUACCGAUGGCGAAGGCAGCCAUCUGGCCUAAUACUGACGCUGAGGUACGAAAGCAUGGGGAGCAAACAGGAUUAGAUACCCGGGUAGUCCCUGUCUCUUAUAC